ACUCUGCUGUGGCCAUGGCUCCUGUGAAAAAGCUUGUGGUGAAGGUGGGCAAAAAAAAGAAGCAGGUUCUGAAGUUCACUCUUGAUUGCACCCACCCUGUAGAAGAUGGAAUCAUGGAUGCUGCCAAUUUUGAGCAGUUUUUGCAAGAAAGGAUCAAAGUGAAUGGAAAAGCUGGGAACCUUGGUGGAGGGGUGGUGACCAUCAAAAGGAGCAAGAGCAAGAUCACCAUGACAUCUGAGGUGCCUUUCUCCAAAAGGUAUUUGAAAUAUCUCACCAAAAAAUAUUUGAAGAAGAAUAAUCUACGUGACUGGUUGCGCGUGGUUGCUAACAGCAAAGAGUUACGAAUGACGUUACUUCCAGAUUAA